rnacentral:rRNA from 1 species
AUGAACGCUAGCGGCAGGCCUAAUACAUGCAAGUCGAGGGGUAACAUGAGUACUUGUACUUGAUGACGAGUGGCGCACGGGUGCGUAACGCGUAUGCAACCUACCCUUAACAGGAGGAUAACCCGAAGAAAUUCGGAUUAAUACCCCAUAGUAUCACCAGAUGGCAUCUGAAGGUGAUUAAAGAUUUAUCGGUUAAGGAUGGGCAUGCGUGACAUUAGCUAGUUGGUGAGGUAACGGCUCACCAAGGCAACGAUGUCUAGGGGUUCUGAGAGGAUGAUCCCCCACACUGGUACUGAGAUACGGACCAGACUCCUACGGGAGGCAGCAGUAGGGAAUAUUGGUCAAUGGACGAGAGUCUGACCCAGCCAUGCCGCGUGCAGGAAGACGGCCUUCUGGGUUGUAAACUGCUUCUAUACAGGAACAAAUAGUCCAUGCGUGGAAAGUUGAGAUGGUAUCGUAAGAAUAAGGAUCGGCUAACUCCGUGCCAGCAGCCGCGGUAAUACGGAGGAUCCAAGCGUUAUCCGGAUUUAUUGGGUUUAAAGGGUGCGUAGGCGGAAUAGUAAGUCAGUGGUGAAAGCCCGCAGCUCAACUGCGGAACUGCCAUUGAUACUGCUAAUCUUGAGUACAUUUGAUGUGGGCGGAAUGUGUCAUGUAGCGGUGAAAUGCUUAGAUAUGACAUAGAACACCAAUUGCGAAGGCAGCUCACAAAACUGUAACUGACGCUGAGGCACGAAAGCGUGGGGAGCGAACAGGAUUAGAUACCCUGGUAGUCCACGCCGUAAACGAUGAUUACUCGCUGUCGGGGUUUUUACUUCGGUGGCUAAGCGAAAGUUAUAAGUGAUCCACCUGGGGAGUACGUUCGCAAGGAUGAAACUCAAAGGAAUUGACGGGGGCCCGCACAAGCGGUGGAGCAUGUGGUUUAAUUCGAUGAUACGCGAGGAACCUUACCAAGGCUUGAAAGUUAGUGACCGAUCCUGAAACCAUUUACCCCUUCCGGACACUUUACAAGGUGCUGCAUGGUUGUCGUCAGCUCGUGCCGUGAGGUGUUAGGUUAAGUCCUGCAACGAGCGCAACCCCUAUCAUUAGUUGCCAGCGUUUAAAGACGGGAACUCUAAUGAAACUGCCCGCGCAAGCGGUGAGGAAGGUGGGGAUGACGUCAAGUCAGCACGGCCCUUACGUCCAGGGCUACACACGUACUACAAUGGCGGAUACAAAGGGUUGCUACAUGGUGACAUGAUGCUAAUCUCUAAAGUCCGUCUCAGUUCGGAUUGAAGUCUGCAACUCGACUUCAUGAAGCUGGAUUCGCUAGUAAUCGAAAAUCAGCAAUGUUUCGGUGAAUACGUUCCCGGGCCUUGUACACACCGCCCGUCAAACAAUGGAAGUUGGGAGUAUCUAAAGUCGAUAACCGCAAGGAGUCGCCUAGGGUAAGACCAAUGACUGGGGCU